GGCAGGCAGCAGAGAACAUUAUGGAAUACACAUUUGUAUUUUAGAGGAACUCCUCCAGCUUCAGUGUGAAGGAUGAACUGGAGGGGCUAGAUGGGUGCAGGACCGAAAGAGGACUUCCCACUAACCUAGGAAACGCCUGCCUAAGGGGACGAGGCAGGUCCAGGGGGACUGGACGCCAGGGACUGGGAAUUCUGGGUAGCGCACUGCUGCUGUCCAGCCUGACCGAGUGGCCUUAUGAUUCCCAGGACCUGCAAACUGAAUGUGGCCCUGGUGGAAACGGCUCCUUCCAAGAGUCGCCCACCUAGAGUGAUGGCGGCACAGAUAGCAUCGGUCCCCGCCCGGGGAGGCUGGUCUCAGGUGCACCCCUCUGCUCCACCUCCAGG